rnacentral:rRNA from 1 species
AUUGAACGCUGGCGGCAGGCUUAACACAUGCAAGUCGAGCGGAGAGAGGUAGCUUGCUACUGAUCUUAGCGGCGGACGGGUGAGUAAUGCCUAGGAAUCUGCCUGGUAGUGGGGGACAACGUUUCGAAAGGAACGCUAAUACCGCAUACGUCCUACGGGAGAAAGCAGGGGACCUUCGGGCCUUGCGCUAUCAGAUGAGCCUAGGUCGGAUUAGCUAGUAGGUGAGGUAAAGGCUCACCUAGGCGACGAUCCGUAACUGGUCUGAGAGGAUGAUCAGUCACACUGGAACUGAGACACGGUCCAGACUCCUACGGGAGGCAGCAGUGGGGAAUAUUGGACAAUGGGCGAAAGCCUGAUCCAGCCAUGCCGCGUGUGUGAAGAAGGUCUUCGGAUUGUAAAGCACUUUAAGUUGGGAGGAAGGGCAGUAAGUUAAUACCUUGCUGUUUUGACGUUACCAACAGAAUAAGCACCGGCUAACUUCGUGCCAGCAGCCGCAGUAAGAC